rnacentral:misc_RNA from 1 species
GUUCUUAUUUUUCCUCUAAUUCUAUUUUAAUGUUAGUUAUUUACUAGAAUUUUAGGGGUAUGGCAAGCACUGAAUUUUUUCAUUCUAUGAAGUUGUUAACGGAUUCUUAUCAUCCUAAUAUGUUUAUUCUCUUGGAACCACAAAUUAGUGGUACGAGGGCAGAUCAUGUCUUUGAAAAAUUGGGCUUUCAAUUUUCUCAUCGAGUGGAAGCUCGAGGCUUUUCUAGUGUUGUUUGGGUUUUAUGGAGGCAGUGUUGGUCAGUGAUAGUCCUUCUGAAUCACCGGUAGUUUAUUCUUUUAGAAGUCCCGAAGGCAGGGAAACAUCUGAUGUUAUUGACUGCUAUUUAUGCUCGUUCAGUGUGAUUUCAAUGAAGGG